AUAUCAAUAAGCGGAGGAAAAGAAACCAACAGGGAUUGCCUCAGUAACGGCGAGUGAAGCGGCAAUAGCUCAAAUUUGAAAUCUGGCUCUUCGAGUCCGAGUUGUAAUUUGUAGAGGAUGUUUCGGGUGCGCCCGCAGUUUAAGUUCCUUGGAACAGGACGUCAUAGAGGGUGAGAAUCCCGUCUUGAACUGUACGGCAAGUCCAUGUGAAACUCCUUCGACGAGUCGAGUUGUUUGGGAAUGCAGCUCAAAAUGGGAGGUAAAUUUCUUCUAAAGCUAAAUAUUGGCCAGAGACCGAUAGCGCACAAGUA
rnacentral:rRNA from 1 species